UAUAUUUCCUAUUGUAUAUAUCAAACACUAACCGCAACUCAAACCUCUCAUCAAUUUGAUUUCCAAUAUUUGCUUCGAUUUUUAUCUGACAAUUCACAAAUGGCUUCUUCAAGUCAUCGCCAAAGGCAACUGUCACUCAUCACUCCUCGUGAUAAUCACUCUCAUGGCUGCAUAACCCAGAAGAUGAAAACCUCAACUUCCAUAGAGGAUUCAAAGAAAAAGGUGACCAUAACCACCGAGACGACGCACAAGCACCGGCCUAUAUCAAAGGGAAAUCGUAUUGCCCUUGAACAAGUAGUCGUCAACCAAAAAAAGAAGACUACCAUCGACAAACAGAGGCUAGUCGUUAGGGAGGAGAAGCAUGAGGUCAGAGAAAAGAAGAUCGUGAGCUCCUACACUACAGUAGAGAAGGAGAAGAAGCGAAUCCCGCACAAGCAUAGAAGCGGUGGCACUUUAGAAGUCACCUUCAAAACAAAAUUUUGACAUUAUCAUCUCUCCGUUAUCGAAGCCAUCGCAAACUUGAAGUUCCAGAAUUUCUCUGGUGGGGUGCACGUCAGAAGGUAACUUGCAUGUAUAACUGACAAAAUUAUGCCGAUGUAGAACGUUUUUUUUUCUUUUUUGUUAAAUAUGUAUUUCCCUAUGGUACGUUUCCCUUGUUAUCAAUAUCCCCCCUGACCUUAAAAUAAAAGGGUUCUUCUUACAUUGUGUGUGUUUAAUUGAGGAUUAAUCCUCUUCAGGCAAUAUAUGUACCAGGUUUGAUGUGUGGAUUGUAUACCUAUGAUUUGCGUGUCUGUUAAUUAAUCAGCAGAGAAUUGAAAAGAAAAAGAAAAAUAAAAAGAAAAGCAUCUAACCAAUUCCCCGAGAAGGUUACUGAGGUAUUGGCUCAUCUGAUAAUAUAUAGAUCCGCUUUUUAAAUUAUUAUCUCGUAUUAACGUUUGAAUUGUUCUACAAGAAAAUAAAAUUCUCUUCAGUUUAGAUGUGAAUAAUUUUAGAGAAAAAUCUGACAAGGGAAUAGUUUGCUCUUAAAAAUAAAAACACUAGCUCAAGUUCAUACCCAGUUAAAAGGCCCAAAAAAAUGAGUCCUUGAGAAACUUUCAAGGAAGAAUGGAGGAUUACUGGAGGAACGAGGCAUCUGCCAUGGGAAAACCAAACAUUCAAGAUAUCGGCCAUUGCAAACCAGGUGUACUUGAGUUGGAAAAAAAGGCACAGUAGACCUCAAAUCAUAACCGUCAUUACAAACUCAAUACAUGUGUUAUUGGGAUUUCACCCUUUUCUUUUGGGAUGAGAAAACCAUCAAGUUGUUACACCAUCAUAAUCAUUGAUGAAGAGGCUCGUAAAAUACUCUUGGUUUAUUCCAUUCGUCCGUUGUGGGGAGAAUGAAGAACAGCGUGGCAGAUGCUCUUUUUGUGAGCGCGCUCCCCGUGCCAAAUCUAUAGAAAGAGAUUACAAGAGCAUGAAAUGUAGGAUCUGAGGACUAAGAUCCCCAAAAGUCUUCUGGAGAAAAUGGCAUCACACCAAUCACAGAACCAAACAGCACAUUAGCAGCUAACUUGGCCACAGCGGAGAUAAUUUUCCUCCUCUUACUCCUCCUCCGACCUUGAUUGCCAUUGUGGGCCUGGUAGGCUGCAAGAUGGCCCAUUUGUCCUUGGUUAGGAACCAUCAUAGGAAAACCAUGGAAACCACCCAUAAGCUGUCGUGGGCCCAUGUUCGCUCGGGUGGAGCGAGAGGAAGAUGGGUUCUCGAGACAUGCCUCGAAUUGCGGUGAACCCAUAUAUGCCUCCAUGGACCGAGAUCGAGGUGGGCUCUCGAGCUCAUAAAAUGGCUCAUAAACGCAGUCCAAGUGCACAUCCACUUGGCAAAUAUCACAGCUGUAACGCCAUGAUGUGCAAGCAUCCCAACAAACCACGCACCAACUGGACAUCCUUGGCUGCCGAAGUGUCAAGGAAUGGUUAGGGAGGUGGCCGUGCUGCAACUUCGUCGGAAUUUGUGUGCAAACUGGAUGCACGUUGAAGUCACAAAAGCUACAUGUAUAGAAGAGCCCGUCAACACGCUCUUCACAUAUGUCACACACUUUGCGGGUGCCAACAAGGUUGACAAGUGUUAACUCAUGCACGUGCAAGCCAGAUCGGAGCUUUAUGGGACAAGUGGCACAAUAUUCAUGAAGAUCAAAAUUGCAAUAGUUGCACCUGUAGCUCUUCUCGUAACCACAGGUCCUGCAACCAUCGCAGAUGAAUUCACCCCCUACGGGUAGGUGGAACUCGAAAAGAGGAUGAAUGUGACUGGGGUGUCGUAACAUUUGAGGCCUUGGAGAUGAUGGCAUGCUCAUUCUCGCCAUCUCCCUGUCCUGAACUGAAACAAAAUGAAAGGAGGAAAGCAGCGAUUAAAGCUGUUGAAUUAAUGUGUUAUUGAGCAAUGGAGGAGAGCGGGGAACGGCUAGCUAUUUAAAGGCCUUCCAUUUCAUAAGAGGAUACUCAAGAGAGAAGACGAGAGUGAAAUCCAAUUAUUUUAUAGCGCAAUUAAACCCUGUUUUUAGAUACAGAAUCUUGCUUCAUGGAAUUAAUUAGUACUGUACAAGUUGAGGUUAUUAUAUUUCCAUCUUCAAUCAGUGAGUUGAACUCCUCCA